rnacentral:rRNA from 1 species
UACAGAGGGUGCAAGCGUUGUUCGGAAUUAUUGGGCGUAAGGGCGCGUAGGCGGUGCGGUAAGUCUUUUGUGAAAUCUCCGGGCUCAACUCGGAGUCUGACAAGAGAAACUGCCGUGCUGGAGUAUGGGAAGAGGUGAGUGGAAUUCCCGGUGUAGCGGUGAAAUGCGCAGAUAUCAGGAAGAACACCCGUGGCGAAAGCGGCGUCUCUGGGACGGUACUGACGGCUGAGACGCGAAAGCGUGGGGAGCAAACAGG